GUACCCUUUGGCAGCACGUAUACUAAAACUGGAACAAUGCAGAGAAGAUUAGCAUGGCCUCUGCACAGGGGUGACAUGCAUAUUCAUGAAGUGUUCCAUAGAUAU